CUCCCGGAGCUGCUGGAGGAAGCCGGAGUUGGGGCAGACACCUCUGUGUGAACGCACAGUCUGAAUUGCAUCAGCGAGGGACAUAUCUUCACAGAUCAUUAAGAAAGCAAGGACAAGAGUUGCAGAGCGGCUGAUUCCCAUCGCACAGUGAACUAGUACUUUACCUGGAAAAGGGAGGGAGAGAGAUCCAAUUAAGCCAGGAGGCCAAAUGGUGGGGUUUAUCAUGCUGGAGCAGAGAUGGAAGUGGUGCUGAUACUGGGGCUGAGCAAACAGAUGUGUUCAGCCCUGCAGAGCAGAUGCGGUGCACUGAUGGCUGGGGAACAGUGGUGUUUGUAACGUCUGGGCAUGGAAAAUUCAUAAUUUUACUCCAGGAUCCACAUUUGCUUGUUUGGGCUUAGCUGUCAACCUGAUGGCAUGCCCUUGGCCCUCCUGCCCAGCCUGCCAUCCAUGGUGUCCCUGCUUGCUCACGUGUGGUUUUAGGGAGUGAUGUACUUGCUGGCAAAGCUUCAAGUCUUCAUACUUGAAGGCCAUACGAUGGGAAGCAGCCUUGACAGGUUACUACAAGAGGGCCUGGAAACUUGGGAUUUCAAAUGUGUGAUGCUCAGGAGCCCUUGGUGCUAUUAUAGGAACACUCCUGAUUUUCAACAAGCUCUUUUUUUCUUCUUUGCUUAGGGCAGUAAUGCUUUCUGAGGGUGCUGACUGCUGCCCAGAGCUUGUUGGAAGCGUGUGGGGAAAUGGGUGUUACCUGUAAGAAUAGCUCCUGUUCGUAUAUGCCAUUUGCACCUGCUCACUUUUGUUUUUUUAUUUCUAUAGCUUAUUGUAUAAGCCGGCACAGGCAGGAUGCAGGAACAACCACAAAACCUCAGAUGAAACGUGAAGAGUAAAUUUAUUUUCAUUAGCGCGCCAACCGGGGUAUUCCCGAAGCAGCACCUGGACAGAGGCACACAGGUGGGGACGCAGGUAUCGCAGAGCUCAGCCCAUGCUAGAGGAUCGCUGAUCCUCUACAGGUUUUGCCUGUAUUUCAGGGAUUCGCACAGGUGUAGUUUACCGCUACCUGCCUUGAUCUUCCCACAGCAGGGCAAGUGUCUCAAUCAUGUUUGAUAGGGUGCUUCUAAGUCUGUCACAGGGCUGUGGUAUCAAAACACAAAUGACUAAAUAACAAUUAGUAUCAUAUGUGUUUUUCUACACCUCAGCUGUAGGUAACUUAAGUGUGUUUAUAAUUCUCUUUGACAAACUUCUGUUAUUUUCCCACACCUACCCUGUAUGUCUGUAGUCACUAUCCUUCCCUAACACUUUUGUCUUCCCUUCUGCAUUAGGUGAUCACCAGAAAAACAAUUUAUGAAAUGUUCUGAGUUCCCCGGAGAUUUCAAUGUGAGGUGUACAUCUUCAUUAAGAGUAAUAUUGUGAGUCCUUCCAUGUUGCUGUAAGCGAGCCUCAGAGAAGACUGCCAGGGAUCCCUCCUGCCCUCUGCUCUGCUUUUGGGUUUGCUGCUGUGAUCACUAAUGGAAGCAACCUGAGAAACCCAAUUCUGUAUCAUGACCGCUUCCCGGGUUUCUGAUGUGUGUCUUUGACCCAUGCUGGAAGGCAAUAAACAUUUUUUUAAAAUGGUCUUAUGUGAAAUUAAAGCAAAUUUUGUCAAAAGGAUUGCUUUCAGAGGGAAAAACUCAGAUUCGUAGUAUUUUCCUUCUGGAUGUGAACAAAGAGCUCAUUCUGGAACCUGAAAACCUACAUCUUGUAAAUGUUGUAAAAUGCCUCAACUUUCACAAAAAUGGUGUGAUCCAAUGAAAAAAUUUUAAUUAGAAAAAUGACCUGUUGUUCUACUCAGUUAUAGCCAUGCCUGAAAAAUCUCAGACUCUUCUGUCCUUUGCUGCAGCCAGAUCUAGUCUUUUCACAGAGACCAGGGCCCAACGAUUGGGCAUUAUUGAAGCAACUAAUGAUUAGAGUCAGAUUUGAACUUCUGGCCAGCUCUGUGCCCUGUUAAGGCAGCUGGGAAAAAAAAAGUAGUCUUUUUAGCAUGAAAAUUUCAGAACACUGCUUCACUGCGGAUCUUCACAAGUUUGAGACAAAAUCUUUUCUGUAUUUUUUUAAAUUUUAGGAGGUUUUUAGACUCUUAUUUGAAGGCUCUUGUUUACUGAUUGUAUAGCUAUAUGACGUGCAAUUUAACAACAAUACCAUUUAAAUCCAGAAAAAUAUUAAAAUCAGUAAAAACAAUCCCAUGUUGCUUUUUUACCUUUGGAGAUGGAAUACAGUGUUUCAGAUGCUGUUUCUCUGUAUAAUGUAAGGAGGAGUAGAAAGAAUGGACAUCAUUUCAGGGCUGGUUCCCUUUGUUUGUGCUUACAGCAUCUUAAUUUCUGUAUUACCAGGGAGCAAGACAAAAAUAUCCUUGUUGGAUGAUGAGCAUAGAUCCAGUCAAAAACCUCAGACUGAUUGCCCCUGUCUCCCUGGGUGUUAAUUCCAGCCAGAGGGAGCCUUCUGCUUUGGAAAAUGCUCUGCCCCACCUGCAGCCUGGAAGUGAAGACAGAGCUAAGCACAGCUGAAAACAGCAUGAAGCCUAUGGAGAGCUUUAAAUAGUGGCAUGUCCUUUCCUUCCCAUGCCUCCCGGAACAGGUCACCUCUGCUGGGCACCCAUCAGUUCAGGGGACUGAUGCCGCCUGGCAAUGUGAAGAGAGCACAAGGUUGAUCCUGUU